rnacentral:misc_RNA from 1 species
AGCGACGGAGUGGUGUGGGUACCUCUCCUGUCAGGCUCCAGGGUACCGUUUGUUUUGGAACCCGAGUCUGUUGAAGAUUUUUUAAACCUUCAUUGGUCAUCACAAGCAUACACCGGUAGCUGCCGUCAACAAAAGUUGGUGAAAUAUACAGAGCUUUCCUUAACCUGGGGAGUCAGGACGAGUAGUGUGGGUGACGUUGAUCCUGGGUCCUGUUACUAUACUGCUAGACGAGGAAUACCUGGGUCCAUUGUCUACCAGAGAUGACUAACUUGACGUCGAUCCUGUCUCUGCUUCUGCUGGUGGUCAGGACGGUGGAGCCAGCACAGAGCCAACUUCUUCGUGUCCUUGAGUUACCACCGAGCCCUCAAUGGAGCUACGAUGAUGUCAAGUCGUGGAGCAAGGUGGCGCCACAGUGUUUAGGAAGCAAGCAGUCCCCCGUCGACUUCACCAAGGUCAAGGAGUUCACACCAGCUCCUUUUGUCUUCACUAAUUACGGCCUGAUCGACACGAUGCUGGAGAACAACGGCCACUCACUGAACGUGAAGUUGUUUCCUGACCCGAGCAACAGACCAGCGGUGUCUGGGGGAGGGCUGCCGGGGACUUACCUGCUUGAUGCAUUCCACUUCCACUGGGGAACAACGCGUGACAAGGGUUCAGAACAUCUGCUGCAUGGAUGCUCCUUUUCUGGGGAGAUGCACUUUGUUCACGUUAAGGAGGAGUAUGGGACUGUACAGGAAGCUCUCAAGCAUCCAGAUGGGUUGGCAGUGAUCGGGGUCUGGCUGGAAGAGUCCCGCUUUGAACCUGAAGUGUCCUCGUUCUCUCAGGACCUGAUUUCACAAGGUGACUGCUACUUCCGACCGGUGGGGCAUGGAACGAACCCCAGAUGUAAUUACACCCCACAAGACCACCAAACUGCCACCCAGCACUGGUUCACGUAUCUUGCACGUAUGACAACCCUACCUGAUGACACCGUGACACCCAUCAACCUCCGCCAACUACUGCCAUUCGACCCAUCCAUCUUCUACAGGUACAAUGGGUCGCUGACCACACCACCCUGCACAGAGAACGUCAUGUGGACGGUGUUCAGGCGACCCUUGCUGGUGUCUCCCUUCUUCUUCAGCUCCCUUAGACAACUGCCAGCCAAGAACCACAACAAAGAGAAACUUGGGCAUCCCACCAACACCAUCGGAGCUGAGUAUCACAUGGUGGACUACGAGGACCACCUGCUUUCUGGACAUAAGUACAUCACCAACAACUUCCGUCCUGUACAGCCCUUGGGAGAUAGGGAAGUUUUGUUCAGUUACGGCCAGAAGGAAGGAAACAAAAUCGUAUGUGUGUAGUGAGACUUCAUGUGGCUAGACAGAAUUCUCAACCUGGUGGAGGUGGCCUGGGAGUGCGUUGGGCUCAAGAGAUAAGCUUCGUGAUGAAGUUGACAGACUCAAGAUCAGGGCCAGGUAUUGUCUACUCCCAGAGGUUGACAAUUGCUGUUUUUUGGUAAUUUUUGUAUAGAUAUUUCAGCAGGUUUUCUUACGGUUUUUAUUGCAAGUUCUCACUUAGAUACUGCAUAGUCACACACACACACACACACACACACACACACACACACACAGUCAAGUACACUCCUCUGUCAUACAUGUACACCUAGAGACGGUACAGUUUGUUAUUUAUUGAUGGUAAAAUAUUUAUGGUAGACAGUAGACAGGUUAAGAUGAGGUUGUGACAGAGGCAUCAGGAUCACACUCGCAGAUUUAACACAUACAACAUACUAAGAGACAGUCUGUGUGUAUCAGUGUUAACAUUAACUCUCAAGCUGACUGUAUCCUUGUUAUUAAAAUUUAAGCUUAUGUAUUAAAAGGAAAGGGAAGAGGUUUGUGACCGCCACCCGAGUCGACAUCACAUUUGAGAGUUAUGUGGCACCAAACCGUUUUUUUUACAUGGUAGAAUGUGACUAGUGACUGAGCCUUAUACAAAUACAGUAACUUGUAUUCCUGUAUUCCCAGCCUUGUUAAGAAAGGGGGAAGGAGGAGAGGAGGAGUUAAAUUUGACUGAUAUUACAAAUUUAAGACAUUUGCUGUAACCCAGAUUAUGAAUACAAAGUGAGAAUAAAAUUUGAAGUUUC